GUGGGCGGAAGCUCAUUGUAGAGGUCACAUGCUGAGUGCUCGUCACUCCACCAAUCACCUCGGGGAAGGUCUGAGACAAGAGCCAAUAGUUACCCUUGCUGGGUAUCACCUGAUUCGGGUGAGCGAGUGAACAGUAAAAUGGAUUGCUAUGAGCAGUUGUUGCAGGAGAUACCGUGUGGUGCGAGUCAUUCCGGUGGAUGCGACGCUCAAUGGCAUUGGAAUCACCCGCGGCUGGCCAAUGAGUGCGAUGUAUGAGGUGGAGCACAGCUCCAGAACCCAAUUCAGACUACUCUCCCCCCAC
rnacentral:RNase_P_RNA from 1 species